rnacentral:rRNA from 1 species
UACGGAGGGGGCUAGCGUUGGUUCGGAAUUACUGGGCGUAAAGCGCACGUAGGCGGACUGUUAAGUCGGGGGGUGAAAUCCUGGGGCUCAACCUCAGAAUGCCUCCGAUACUGGCAGUCUCGAGUGCGGGAGAGGUGAGUGGAACUGCGAGUGUAGAGGUGAAAUUCGUAGAUAUUCGCAAGAACACCAGUGGCGAAGGGCGGAGCUCG